UACGUAGGGACCAAGCGUUGUUCGGAUUUACUGGGCGUAAAGGGCGCGUAGGCGGCAUGACAAGUCACUUGUGAAAUCUCUGGGCUUAACCCAGAACGGCCAAGUGAUACUGUCGCGCUAGAGUGCGGAAGGGGCAAUCGGAAUUCUCGGUGUAGCGGUGAAAUGCGUAGAUAUCGAGAGGAACACCUGAGGUGAAGACGGGUUGCUGGGCCGACACUGACGGCUGAGUGACGCGAAAGCCCAGGGGAGCAAACGGG
rnacentral:rRNA from 1 species